AUUGAACGCUGGCGGCAGGCCUAACACAUGCAAGUCGAGCGGAUGAGUGGAGCUUGCUCCAUGAUUCAGCGGCGGACGGGUGAGUAAUGCCUAGGAAUCUGCCUGGUAGUGGGGGACAACGUUUCGAAAGGACGCUAAUACCGCAUACGUCCUACGGGAGAAAGCAGGGGACCUUCGGGCCUUGCGCUAUCAGAUGAGCCUAGGUCGGAUUAGCUAGUAGGUGAGGUAAUGGCUCACCUAGGCGACGAUCCGUAACUGGUCUGAGAGGAUGAUCAGUCACACUGGAACUGAGACACGGUCCAGACUCCUACGGAGGCAGCAGUGGGGAAUAUUGGGACAAUGGGCGAAAGCCUGAUCCAGCCAUGCCGCGUGUGUGAAGAAGGUCUUCGGAUUGUAAAGCACUUUAAGUUGGGAGGAAGGGCAGUAAGUUAAGUACCUUGCUGUUUUUGACGGUUUACCAACAGAAUAAGCACCGGCUAACUUCGUG
rnacentral:rRNA from 1 species